AGAGGCUCUAGUUGACGAACUACGGCGUAAAGCGUGGUCACGGAGAGCAAUCAAUACUAAAGCCAAACGCCUCCCAGGCUGUCAUACGCAUCCGGAGGUACGAAGCCCAAUAACGAAAGUAGCUUUAUUACCGCCAACCUGACCCCACGACAACUGAGAAACAAACUGGGAUUAGAUACCCCACUAUGCUCAGUCGUAAACUUAGGUAUUCCUUUACCACCAAUACCCGCCUGGGAACUACGAGCGCUA
rnacentral:rRNA from 1 species